UUUUCUCUUCAGUUUGCCUUCUCAAAACGCUGGACUAUUUUUAGACUGUCCCCUAAUUCCACAUGCCAGCAGAAACAUGACAAGUUCUCCAAGUCUUCUUUCAAAGUUCCCUCACUUGAUUUGAGAUGAAUAAAAAGACUCCUUUCCCAUCCCCCUUGGAGAAAUACAUAACACAUUUACUACUUGCUUCAAAUGAAUACCUAUUACCUUGAUUUCCAUGCAAGAAUAUGUUAUAUCAUCUGGAUAUGGACUAUCAGUUGCACAAUUUAGGAUGUCCUGAAUAGAUAGUAUUACUCUCCCAUUUCGAAUCUUAGGUUUCUUGGCACUUAUUGGUUUUAGGGGCCUCUGCUGAAAUUUGGCAAGAGAAUAGUUUUAAUUUAACAUCUUAUUUUGUACACAAACAACAGAUCCACUGUUUAUGAAUGGCAUUUCUAAAAGUCCACCUGUAAGUUAUUUCUUUGGAACACUGAGCUUGUGUCCCGUAAAAACCAUGCAUAAUUGUCAUGUGUGAGAUCCAGAGAGGAUCUCAAAGGCUUAUGUGGAUCACAGUUAUUGACACUGACCAUAUUAAAACAGAGACAUUUUUUAAACACAAAAGUACACAAGCACCUGGUUCUUUUAGCGGUUAGAGCACUGAUAUCACCUGUUAGCCUCUGGAAAGCUCCACUACACACUUGUGAGAGAACAAAAGCAACUUGCAUAAAAUCUGAAUAGAAAAAUAGACAAUAGAAUUUAAGCUUCAGAAGCAAAGGUCCAGCUUUCAAAAAAUUAUGCUAAUCCUUGCAGGAUACAUUAAAUUUUUUCUUAAUACAGCAUGGGAGCAGGAAACAAUGAGCCCAAUUAUGCACUUCCAGUCCUAAAUCAACUCUAAGUCAGAGCAAGUCUUUAGAGGAAAUAAAGUUUGGACCAUUUUAAGUUACAGAUUUCCUCAAAAAUCAACCCUGAUUAUAGAAAAGGGAAGCAAGGGCACAUACAGAGGAUGAGCCACAGUCAAUCAUAUUUGCUAUGAGAAUGAUACACUUGUGUUCCAAAUUAAAAGUUCUACCAAGAAAUUAAAGGCCUUUAUUUUUCUACCACUGAGAACUUUCUUUGACAAA
rnacentral:lncRNA from 1 species